rnacentral:rRNA from 1 species
UGCCGCCUACGGGACGCAGCAGUGGGGGAUAUUGCACAAUGGGGGCAACCCUGAUGCAGCGACGCCGCGUGAGCGAUGGAGUACUUCGGUAUGUAAAGCUCUGUCAGCAGGGAAGAGAAUGACGGUACCUGACUAAGAAGCCCCGGCUAAAUACGUGCCAGCAGCCGCGGUAAUACGUAUGGGGCAAGCGUUAUCCGGAUUUACUGGGUGUAAAGGGAGCGUAGGCGGCCUGGCAAGCCUGAUGUGAAAUACCGGGGCCCAACCCCGGGGCUGCAUUGGGAACUGCCAGGCUGGAGUGCCGGAGG